AUUGAACGCUGGCGGCAUGCCUUACACAUGCAAGUCGAACGGCAGCGCGGGGCAACCUGGCGGCGAGUGGCGAACGGGUGAGUAACAUAUCGGAACAUACCCUAGAGUGGGGGAUAACGUAGCGAAAGUUACGCUAAUACCGCAUACGCACUAAGGUGGAAAGUGGGGGAUUCGCAAGAACCUCAUGCUCAUGGAGUGGCCGAUAUCUGAUUAGCUAGUUGGUGAGGUAAAGGCUCACCAAGGCGACGAUCAGUAGCUGGUUUGAGAGAACGACCAGCCACACUGGAACUGAGACACGGUCCAGACUCCUACGGGAGGCAGCAGUGGGGAAUUUUCCGCAAUGGGCGAAAGCCUGACGGAGCAAUACCGCGUGAAGG
rnacentral:rRNA from 1 species